UACGUAGGGUGCGAGCGUUGUCCGGAAUUAUUGGGCGUAAAGGGCUCGUAGGCGGUUUGUCGCGUCGGGAGUGAAAUCCACUGGCUUAACUGGUGGCUUGCUUUCGAUACGGGCAGACUGGAGGUAUGCAGGGGGAGAACGGAAUUCCUGGUGUAGCGGUGAAAUGCGCAGAUAUCAGGAGGAACACCGGUGGCGAAGGCGGGUCUCUGGGCAGUAACUGACGCUGAGGAGCGAAAGCUAGGGGAGCGAACAGG
rnacentral:rRNA from 1 species